rnacentral:lncRNA from 1 species
UGAUCAACUGUAACAUACUGAUGCCUUCCUUCCACUAUUAUCACUUACAAAUAAAUAAGUUCUCUAACGAAACCAUAAAAUAGUUAGAAUUUCUUUACAAUUGGUGAGUAGUAAUUUAAUGAAAUUCAGAAGAAAAAAAUUAUAAUUUUGCGUCCUAAAAAUGGAAAAGAAUCCAUAAAAAAAGUACCUGUUGUGUAGGAGCCGAAAGAGAGAUCUGUUUCUGUGUUUUGUGAAGGAACUGACGGACGAAGAGGAAGAUCUUAAUUAAUGGAAGAGAAUGAGAGAGCGAGGAAUGCGGAGGAUAGGAGUGUUAAUUAAAGUCAAGUGUGGGUCGCAACCUAUCUUUGUUUUCCUUUCGAUCUAAUCUUCGUUUCGCACUAGUUUACCAGGGGACUUUUCCAUCGUGUAGACCGUUUGGAAUUUGGAAUUGCG